CAGUCGCCGCGGUAAUACCGAGGGUGCGAGCGUUAAUCGGAUUUACUGGGCGUAAAGCGUGCGUAGGCGGCUUCUUAAGUCGGAUGUGAAAUCCCUGAGCUUAACUUAGGAAUUGCAUUCGAUACUGGGAAGCUAGAGUAUGGGAGAGGAUGGUAGAAUUCCAGGUGUAGCGGUGAAAUGCGUAGAGAUCUGGAGGAAUACCGAUGGCGAAGGCAGCCAUCUGGCCUAAUACUGACGCUGAGGUACGAAAGCAUGGGGAGCAAACAGGAUUAGAUACCCCAGUAGUCCCUGUCUCUUAUAA
rnacentral:rRNA from 1 species